GCCCCCCCCCCGGGGCCGCAGCUCUCGGGAUGCACGCUGCCGGCUGUGGGGCGCGCGGGCCGGGGGGGGGGGGUGUGUGCCCGUCCCGUGCAACAGAAUAAAGGCUCUUGUAUUUGGGGGGGGCUCUUGUAUUUGUGCAGGGAAUGCACAGGGAUGCGUGCACAGGGAUGCAGGUGGUGCUGCAAGGGAUGCACAGGGAUGCAGGGGAUGCUGCAGGGGAUGCACAGGGAUGGAUGCACAGGGAUGCACAGGUGAUGUCCUAUGGGAGAUGCACAGGGAUGCAGGGGGAUGCAGGGAUGCUGCAGGGGAUGCACAGGGAUGCAGGUGAUGCUGCAGGGGAUGCACAGGGAUGCAGGUGAUGCUGCAGGGGAUGCACAGGGAUGCAGGUGGUGCUGUGGGGGACGUGCACAGGGAUGCAGGGGAUGCACAGGGAUGGAUGCACAGGGAUGCACAGGUGAUGUCCUAUGGGAGAUGCACAGGGAUGCAGGGGGAUGCAGGGAUGCUGCAGGGGAUGCACAGGGAUGCAUGCACAGGGAUGCAGGGAUGCUGCAGGGGAUGCACAGAGAUGCACAGGUGAUGCCCUAUGGGAGAUGCACAGGGAUGGAUGCACAGGGAUGCAGAGGAUGCUGCAGGGGGUGCACAGGGAUGCAUGCACAGGGAUGGAUGCACAGGGAUGCAGAGGAUGCUGCAGGGGAUGCACAGGGAUGCAGGUGGUGCUGCAGGGGAUGCACAGGGAUGGAUGCACAGGGAUGCAUGCACAGGAAUGCACAGAUGAUGUCCUAUGGGAGAUGCACAGGGAUGGACGCACAGGGAUGCAGAGGAUGCUGCAGGGGAUGCACAGGGAUGCAGGUGGUGCUGUGGGGGACGUGCACAGGGAUGCAGGGGAUGCUGCAAGGGAUGCACAGGGAUGCAGGUGAUGCUGCAGGGGAUGCACAGGGGUGCAUGCACAGGGAUGCAGGUGAUGCUGCAGCGGAUGCACAGGGAUGCAGGUGGUGCUGUGGGGGACGUGCACAGGGAUGCAGGGGAUGCUGCAAGGGAUGCACAGGGAUGCAGGUGAUGCUGCAAGGGAUGCACAGGGAUGCAUGCACAGGGAUGCAUGCACAGGGAUGCAGGUGGUGCUGCAGGGGAUGCACAGGGGUGCAUGCACAAGGAUGCAGGCGAUGCUGCAGGGAUGCACAGGGAUGGAUGACACAUGGAUACAGGUGAUGCUGCAAGGGAUGCACAGGGAUGCAUGCACAGGGAUGCAGGUGGUGCUGCAGGGAUGCACGGGGAUGCAUGCAGGGGAUGCUGCAGGGGAUGCACAGGGAUGCCGGUGCUGCACACGGGGUUAUGCACAAGGAUGCACGGCGAUGCACAGGUGCUGUUACACGGGAGACGCACGGGGAUGCAGAGGGGCGGCAGAUGGAGCAGCGCAGCAG
rnacentral:lncRNA from 1 species